GUCAUGAGGACGACGUCAGUACAGGCAGGUGACGGAGCAGGUCAUGACGACGACGUCAGUACAUGCAGGUCAGGGGGCGUAGGUCAUGACGCCAACACAGUACGUGCAGAUCGGGGCGUACGUCAGGAGGAUGACGUCAGGACCAGCAGGUCAGGAGGCAUAAGUCAUGAUGACGACGUCAGUAUGCGCAGCAGGUCAGGGGCGCGGGUCAUGACGCCGACGUCAGUACGUGCAGAUCAGGGCGUACGUCAUGAGGACGACGUCAGGACAUGUAGGUCCGGGGGCAUAGGUCAUGCAGCCGACGGCAGCACGGGCCGGUCAGGGGACGCAGGUCAGGGUGGCGACGGCAGUACGCACAGGUCAAGAGCACAAGUCGGGGCGCGGAGGCCGGGGCGCUCCGGUGUCCUGGCGCAGAGCACAGGAGAGCAGGUUAGGGCGCUCAGCGAGCUGAGGUCAGCGCCCCGCGUCCCGGUGGAAGCCUGUCCCAUAUCCCCGGCCGCCACACCCCACCCGCAGACGCGUCUCUGGGCUCAGGUCCCGCUGCCCUGGGAGGGUCCCCACUGGCUCCCCGCUCUGCCCAGCCUGGAGGCAACUGCACGGCCGUCCCCCAAAGCACCAGGUUUCCCACGGUGCCUGGAGGGCAGGGUGUGUGUUGGUCUGACCAGGGGCCCGGGCGCUGUGGUGGGGGGCGCUGGUGCAGAGUGGGCAUUCCGUUUGCGCCCCCCACCGCCCCCAACACAAGACGGCCCGCUGGUGAGGGCGCGCGGCUGCAGGACGGGGCGGAGAGCACUGCUCCUGGAGGGCCCCGACCCCAAGCGCCCCAGACCCCGCGCCCGCUUCCCGGCUCCGCGUCUCCUCCGCAGACGGGCUCCGAUGCGCGGUGAAGGCCCGGGCUGAACCCGACGUCUGUGCGGCGCCAGCCGGAGUGCACGACGGGUCAGCCACAGAGACCGCACCCCGGAGUCAGCGCGGGAAAGCCAGGCUCGCUCCUGUACUGAGCCCCGCUGCUCUCCGUCUGGGGCAGCCGGGGCCUUGCCCGCGCUGGGGGAGGGGCAGCGGGAGCGUCGGGUUUCCCACCGGGAGCUCCCCGCCCUCCUGAGCCCUCUGGCUGCCCGAGGCGAAGCACACGCCCUUGGCAAAUCCUCUCCCCGGCUCUGGCCGAGUCCGAGUCCGUAAAUCAGGGGCAGGGGGCCAUCCCAGGGAGGGCUGGACAGGGUCAGGCUGCAGACUUCACCGGGCUAGUCCCUACACGGAUCCGCGGAUGCCUGGAUGCCAGGUCCUUGCUAGGUCAGCUCAGCAGCCCCAGCCGUGGAAUGUGCUGGUGACACUAGUCAGAAAGGAGAGGGACGGUGGGAAGGGUAGGGGUGGGCACCCACAGCUGACCUGCGGAGCGCUUCACGGAUCCUCUACGCUGGCGGCGCCGUGGCUGUGGGACGGAGGCACAUCUGGGUCGGGGGCUCUCCCUGUGCACGCACUUAACCCUGAUGACCUGCGGAAUGCCCUGCCUCCAAACACAGUGGCACGGGGGGUCGGGACCUGAACACAUGGAUUUGGGGGACACAGCUAAGUCCCAUGCAGAAGCUAUGAGAACUCAGCAGGGUCACACGCCCUGACUGAUGAGGGAACCUGGACCACCGGCACCCCGCAGCCCUGCGCUGGCGUCCUCAAGUCACCAGCAACCCCACUGGGUGGUCCUGACAAGACGUGAGUGGCUUUUGUGUCGUCAUCAUCCGCGCAGUAAGAGAUAACAUGAUCAUUGGCCCCGUGACCAGUUCUCAAGCAAACGGGUCAGCGGCCUUGGGUGUGUGAACAGCGACGGGAGGUUCCAGGACCCAGGCUUCCCGCAGAAGCUGCUCCUGCCAAGCCCAAGGACCCCGCCACCAGCCGCCCAGAACCGCCAGCCUGGGCCUGUCUCUAUAGACAUUCCGCACGCCUGGAAUCCUACCCCGCGUGGCCUCCUGGCUUCUGUCCUUCCCUGCGCUGCAGGAAGGCUGCCCUGACCAGUGAGAAAGCACCGGGGCCCCUCCUUUCCCGCCCAGCUGUGAGAAUCUCAUGGUGUCGCAGGCCUCCUUUGUGGAGCCGUCCCGUCUCCUCUCUGGCCUGUCAGUCCUGGAGGCACGUCAGGGCGUUGGGCUGAGCCGAUCCCCGGAGAAGGCACACCUAUGGAUGCCCACGUGGGGCACAGAGAACGUGUGUCCACAGACUGCUCUCAGGGUCCCAGGAGCUCGCUUUGAAUACCGCGGAACCGUGGCGUGAAGGAGGCCCCUGGCUCCCAGUAAAACCUUCCUGACUCAGGGGACAGUGGCGACUUGGUGGUUCACAGUAACGGGCAUCUGAUGACCAUCUUCCUUUCUCUUUGGGAGCAGGAAGACACCAUCAAACCCACAGGUCACAGCACAGGCAGAGACACUGGGUAUGUCCUAGAUGGAACUGGGAGGCCAAGGGACAGCAGUACAGCAGAGCCUGGAGGAGGAAGUGGAGGACACCAGCCUGGGGUGGAGGAGAGGGGGCUGCAGGGUCUCCCUGGCAAUCUGCAUGCGUUCCCCAGAGCUGGAAGACAAGGCUGCCAUCCUCCUACAGUGGGUCCUGAGGUCAGAAAGGCAUGUCCGGCCCCGCAGACCCAGCCCUGCCCUCUUGCAGGGAAUCUUUUCUUCCUCAGUUUGCUUUGAUGCGCAAAAGGUCUUAACAUGGAUGAAGUCCAAUUUAUCUGGUUUUUUUCUUGACUUGCUGGUGGUUUUGGUGUCCUUUCCGAGAAACGAUUGUCAAAUCAGUUUUGUGAGGAUUUCCCUCUGCGUUUUCUUCUACAUAUUUCACAGUUUUAGCUCCUACAUUUGGUCAGGUCUCUGACAUGGUUAUGUAUGUGGUGUGAGGUAAGGGAGGUGAGGGACAGCCCUGUGCACAGACCUCCUCCAGGCUGCAGCUGGCCUCCAGUGGGCACCCAGGGGAGCAGAGGGUCCUGCCCCUUCUCCAGGCAGCUCCCAGGGACAACACCCCCUCCUUGUGGGGUGGGUGUCAGACCUGCCGCGGCAGGUUGGCUUCCUCCCUCAUCUGGGUCUUACCCUCACUGACUCUGGACAAAGCCCUCACUCUGUCCAAGCCUUAGUUUCUCCUUUGUAUCCAGGGAACUGGGCCCAGGCCAGUCGCAUCUCUCCCACUGAAACUGCAGCGCUUAGAACACACAGCAGAGUCCCCAGCACCCUGGAACUGUCACAUGACGUCCCGUCCAAGUGCCCGGCCCAACCUCAUCCCUGCUGCCCAGCCCCCUCACCCAGCCCCCAGCCACAGGGGCCUUUCCCUCCUAGUCCUUCUGCCAGGAUCUCCCCCAGCCUCCCCACAGCUGGGGCCUGAUCCUCCUUCAGAGACCUCCCCGACCAUGCUGUCUGAACCAGGCAUGUUCCUUAGCUGCGUGACAAGGCCCUGAAUGCCUUGUGGCUUUAAACAAGGCCCU